AGUGGCGGACGGGUGAGUAACGCGUGAGAAUCUGCCUUGGGGUCGGGGACAACCACUGGAAACGGUGGCUAAUACCGGAUAAGCCGAUUGGUGAAAGAUUUAUUGCCCGAAGAGGAGCUCGCGUCUGAUUAGCUAGUUGGUGAGGUAAGAGCUCACCAAGGCAGCGAUUAGUAGCUGGUCUGAGAGGACGAUCAGCCACACUGGGACUGAGACACGGCCCAGACUCCUACGGGAGGCAGCAGUGGGGAAUUUUCCGCAAUGGGCGAAAGCCUGACGGAGCAAGACCGCGUGAGGGAGGAAGGCUCUUGGGUUGUAAACCUCUUUUCUCAGGGAAGAAGCUCUGACGGUACCUGAGGAAUCAGCCUCGGCUAACUCCGUGCCAGCAGCCGCGGUAAUACGGAGGAGGCAAGCGUUAUCCGGAAUUAUUGGGCGUAAAGCGUCCGCAGGUGGCGAUUCAAGUCUGCUGUCAAAGCACGGGGCUUAACUCCGUAAAGGCAGUGGAAACUGAAUAGCUAGAGUGCCGUAGGGGUAGAGGGAAUUCCCGGUGUAGCGGUGAAAUGCGUAGAGAUCGGGAAGAACAUCGGUGGCGAAAGCGCUCUACUGGACGGCAACUGACACUCAGGGACGAAAGCUAGGGGAGCGAAUGGGAUUAGAUACCCC
rnacentral:rRNA from 1 species